UGGGGGAUAUUGCACAAUGGGCGAAAGCCUGAUGCAGCGACGCCGCGUGGGGGAUGAAGGCUUUCGGGUUGUAAACCUCUUUCGCUAUCGAACAAGGCCCGCUUAGGGUGGGUUGAGGGUAGGUGGAGAAGAAGCGCCGGCUAACUACGUGCCAGCAGCCGCGGUAAUACGUAGGGCGCGAGCGUUGUCCGGAAUUAUUGGGCGUAAAGGGCUUGUAGGCGGCUUGUUGCGCCUGCUGUGAAAACGCGGGGCUUAACUUCGCGCGUGCAGUGGGUACGGGCAGGCUUGAGUGUGGUAGGGGUGACUGGAAUUCCAGGUGUAGCGGUGGAAUGCGCAGAUAUCUGGAGGAACACCAAUGGCGAAGGCAGGUCACUGGGCCAUUACUGACGCUGAGGAGCGAAAGCAUGGGUAGCGAACAGG
rnacentral:rRNA from 1 species